GUUUGAAGCACCGCUUCUCAUCCGACCACCGAAGUUAAGCAACGUCGAGCCUGGUCUGUACCUAGACGGGUGACCGCUUGGUAAUAUCAGGUGCUAUAA